CCCUUAGAAGAAACAAGUCAGGACUUUGGGCCUUGCACCUCUAGGGCAAUGUAGGACACGGCAGAGCAGAAGUUCUACUUCAGCGAGAUCAGGGCUGGAAAGAAACUGCGUUUCACAGGCCUUUGUAAGAGAUGUUCCCGGUAGGCUGUAAGAGCACUGUGCAGAGCGAGUUGUUUCUUAGCUUCCCAAAGAGCUGGAAGCAAGAUGCUGUGGGGCCUGUCUCGCCCUUUGGAAAGAAGCCUGCACGUUGUGCCUUGCAGCUCUAGGGCAAUGUAGCACACCCAGAGCAGAAGUUCUACUUCAGCGAGAUCAGGCCUGCAAAGAAACUGCGUUUCACAGGCCUUUGGAAGAGAUGUUCCAGGUAGGCUGUAAGAGCCCUGUGGAAAGCCACUUCCUUCUCAGCUUACCAAAGAGCUGCAAGCAAGAAGGUCUGUGGCCUGUCUACUCUUGAUGAAGCCAGACAGGACUUUGUGACUUCCAUGUCGAGGGCAAUGCAUUACGUGGUAGAGAAGAAGUUCUAAUUCAACGAGAUCAG
rnacentral:lncRNA from 1 species